rnacentral:rRNA from 1 species
GAUGAACGCUGGCGGCGUGCCUAAUACAUGCAAGUCGAGCGAACAGACGAGGAGCUUGCUCCUUCGACGUUAGCGACGGACGGGUGAGUAACACGUAGGUAACCUACCUAUAAGACUGGGAUAACUUCGGGAAACCGGAGCUAAUACCGGAUAAUAUUUCGAACCGCAUGGUUCGAUAGUGAAAGAUGGCUUUGCUAUCACUUAUAGAUGGACCUGCGCCGUAUUAGCUAGUUGGUAAGGUAACGGCUUACCAAGGCAACGAUACGUAGCCGACCUGAGAGGGUGAUCGGCCACACUGGAACUGAGACACGGUCCAGACUCCUACGGGAGGCAGCAGUAGGGAAUCUUCCGCAAUGGGCGAAAGCCUGACGGAGCAACGCCGCGUGAGUGAUGAAGGUCUUCGGAUCGUAAAACUCUGUUAUUAGGGAAGAACAAACGUGUAAGUAACUGUGCACGUCUUGACGGUACCUAAUCAGAAAGCCACGGCUAACUACGUG